rnacentral:rRNA from 1 species
UACGUAGGGGGCAAGCGUUGUCCGGAUUUAUUGGGCGUAAAAGGCUUGUAGGUGGCCACGCCAAGUCGGAUGUGAAAUCUCCCGGCUCAACUGGGAGGGGUCAUUCGAUACUGGUGGGCUCGAGGCCGGUAGGGGGAAGUGGAAUUCCCGGUGUAGUGGUGGAAUGCGUAGAUAUCGGGAGGAACACCAGUGGCGAAGGCGGCUUCCUGGACCGGUUCUGACACUGAGGAGCGAAAGCGUGGGGAGCGAUCCGG